UCUUGACAUCGAGUGACGAACUUAGAGAUAAGUUCUUCCUUCGGGACACGAAGACAGGUGGUGCAUGGUUGUCGUCAGCUCGUGUCGUGAGAUGUUGGGUUAAGUCCCGCAACGAGCGCAACCCUUAUCAUUAGUUGCUACGCAAGAGCACUCUAAUGAGACUGCCGUUGAUAAAACGGAGGAAGGUGGGGAUGACGUCAAAUCAUCAUGCCCCUUAUGACCUGGGCUACACACGUACUACAAUGGUGAUCAAACAGAGGGAAGCAACACAGCGAUGUGAAGCAGAACCCGAAAAAUCAUCUCAGUUCAGAUUGCAGGCUGCAACUCGCCUGCAUGAAGUCGGAAUUGCUAGUAAUCGCGGAUCAGCAUGCCGCGGUGAAUACGUUCCCGGGCCUUGUACACACCGCCCGUCACACCAUGGGAGUCGGUAACACCCGAAGCCAGUAGCCUAACCGCAAGGAGGGCGCUGUCGAAGGUGGGAUUGAUGACUGGGGUGAAGUCGUAACAAGGUAGCCGUAUCGGAAGGUGCGGCUGGAUCACCUCCUUU
rnacentral:rRNA from 1 species